rnacentral:rRNA from 1 species
UACGUAGGGAGCAAGCGUUGUCCGGAAUCAUUGGGCGUAAAGCGCGCGUAGGCGGCCAUGUAAGUCCGCUGUGAAAGUCCAGGGCUCAACCCUGGGAUGCCGGUGGAUACUGUCGGGCUCGAGUCCGGAAGAGGAGUGUGGAAUUCCUGGUGUAGCGGUGAAAUGCGCAGAUAUCAGGAGGAACACCAAUGGCGAAGGCAGCACUCUGGGACGUGACUGACGCUGAGACGCGAAAGCGUGGGGAGCAAACAGG